AUUUGGUAGGCAACAACAAAUCAGUCAAAUCUACAUGGUAAAAGAGGAACAGGUCUCUCCAAGACAGAGACAUCAAUGUUACUCCAGACCUCUUGCUUGGUUGGAAGCUCUGCUAUCUUCUCUGCGAUUUCCAUGUCUUCAGGAAGAACAGAACCAAACACGGUGUAGGCUUUUUUCCACUCAAAAUGGUUGGCUAGGCUGAUUAAGAAACUUGGACCGGAACCAACCCAGGCUACUGAUCCCCUUCUGAUGUUGUAGUUACCCUCUCUUUGUAUCUCCUUGAAUAUUACACCGUGGGCUUCGAGUGUUCCUUGUAUUAAUCCAAAAGGGGGGCCAAACGGCACCUAUAUAUAUCUCACACCAGAAACAUCUGAAUGAGGAAUAAAUACUACAUCAAAGCCAUCUCAUAGGCUAAACAAUGGUGCUAAUAAAAGCA